rnacentral:rRNA from 1 species
UACAGAGGGGGCAAGCGUUGUUCGGAAUUACUGGGCGUAAAGGGCGCGUAGGCGGGCUGGCAAGUCGGUCGUGAAAUCCUUCGGCUCAACCGAAGAACGUCGGCCGAUACUGCCGUUCUUGAGGGAUGCAGAGGAGAUUGGAAUUCCCGGUGUAGCGGUGAAAUGUGUAGAGAUCGGGAGGAACACCGGUGGCGAAGGCGGGUCUCUGGGCAUCUCCUGACGCUGAGGCGCGAAAGCGUGGGGAGCAAACGGG